GUUCUACCUGAAAAAGUUAACAGCAUUCAAUGCUGUAAAGUAAGGGAACAAGGUUAAUAACGAAUGCCCCCUUCACAAAGGGUGGUGGAAGACAGAGGGAAUUCUCAAAGACCAACUUCACUCCACGUCAUACAUGAAAUAACUGCAGCUCCUACAGAAAUAAACUACUUAAAGGUGCACAAAA